rnacentral:rRNA from 1 species
UACAGAGGGGGCAAGGCGUUAUUCGGAAUUAUUGGGCGUAAAGGGCGCGUAGGCGGCCUGGCAAGUGGAAGGUGAAAUCCCUCGGCUUAACCGAGGAACUGCCCUCCAAACUGCUUGGCUUGAGUCCGGGAGAGGUGAGUGGAAUUCCCAGUGUAGCGGUGAAAUGCGUAGAUAUUGGGAGGAACACCAGUGGCGAAGGCGGCUCACUGGACCGGAACUGACGCUGAGGCGCGAAAAGCGUGGGGAGCAAACGGG